AACGCGAAGAACCUUACCUGGGUUUGACAUCCCGUGAAAAGUGCAGAGAUGCAUAAUAGCCGCAAGGCACACGGAGACAGGUGCUGCAUGGCUGUCGUCAGCUCGUGUCGUGAGAUGUUGGGUUAAGUCCCGCAACGAGCGCAACCCUUUCCCUUAUUUGCCAGCAUUCAGUUGGGCACUCUAGGGGUACUGCCGAUGAUAAAUCGGAGGAAGGUGGGGAUGAGGUCAAGUCAUCAUGGCCCUUACGUCCAGGGCAACACACGUACUACAAUGGCCGAGACAAAGCGAUGCAAAAUCGAGAGAUUGAGCCAAUCGCAAAAACACGGUCUCAGUUCGGAUUGUGGUCUGCAACUCGACCACAUGAAGUUGGAAUCUCUAGUAAUCGCAGAUCAGCAGGCUGCGGUGAAUACGUUCCCGGGCCUUGUACACACCGACGCGUA
rnacentral:rRNA from 1 species